GACGAACCGUGCGAACGUUGUUCGGAAUCACUGGGCGUAAAGGGCGCGUAGGCGGCGCGGUAAGUCACUUGUGAAAUCUCUGAGCUUAACUCAGAACGGCCAAGUGAUACUGCAGUGCUUGAGUGUGGAAGGGGCAAUCGGAAUUCUUGGUGUAGCGGUGAAAUGCGUAGAUAUCAAGAGGAACACCUGAGGUGAAGACGGGUUGCUGGGCCAACACUGACGCUGAUGCGCGAAAGCCAGGGGAGCAAACGGG
rnacentral:rRNA from 1 species